UACGUAGGCAGCAAGCGUUGUUCGGAGUUACUGGGCGUAAAGCGUGCGUAGGCGGUUUGUAAGUUUGGUGUGAAAUCUCCCGGCUCAACUGGGAGGGUGCGCCGAAAACUGCAAGGCUGGAGUAUGGGAGAGGUAGGCGGAAUUCCUGGUGUAGCGGUGAAAUGCGUAGAUAUCAGGAGGAACACCUGUGGUGUAGACGGCUUUACUGGACCAUGAACUGACG
rnacentral:rRNA from 1 species